CCUACGGGAGGCAGCAGUGGGGAAUCUUGGACAAUGGGGGCAACCCUGAUCCAGCCAUGCCGCGUGAGUGAUGAAGGCCUUAGGGUCGUAAAGCUCUUUCGCCUGUGAAGAUAAUGACGGUAGCAGGUAAAGAAACCCCGGCUAACUCCGUGCCAGCAGCCGCGGUAAUACGGAGGGGGUUAGCGUUGUUCGGAAUUACUGGGCGUAAAGCGCACGUAGGCGGAUCGGAAAGUUGGGGGUGAAAUCCCGGGGCUCAACCCCGGAACUGCCUCCAAAACUAUCGGUCUAGAGUUCGAGAGAGGUGAGUGGAAUUCCGAGUGUAGAGGUGAAAUUCGUAGAUAUUCGGAGGAACACCAGUGGCGAAGGCGGCUCACUGGCUCGAUACUGACGCUGAGGUGCGAAAGUGUGGGGAGCAAACAGGAUUAGAUACCCUGGUAGUCCACACCGUAAACGAUGAAUGCCAGUCGUCGGGUAGCAUGCUAUUCGGUGACACACCUAACGGAUUAAGCAUUCCGCCUGGGGAGUACGGUCGCAAGAUUAAAACUCAAAGGAAUUGACGGGG
rnacentral:rRNA from 1 species